UAUUCGGGGGGGUUAUAAAUAGAUCCCCCUCUUCCUCUUCCUUCCAUUUUUGGCAAAAAAUAAAAAAAAACAGUAAUUGAGAGGAAGAGAAGGGCGCACGUGACGAGCUCGUGGUCCUCUCUCUGUUCCAUCUUCUUGGUGGCUCCUCCUAUCGUCGCCCCUCUCUUGAGUUCUUAAUUGUUAGUCUUGUUUAGUUGAUCUCGUUGGGUCUAAUUACGGUGGAUGUGAUCUUUUUUGUCUCAAAAGAAGGAUGGGAGCUCGCGGUUGUGCGUAUUUUGACCCGGACUUCGAUUCGCAAUUUGAGAGGAUUCUUCAACCAAGAGUUUGUAUAGAUAACGACACCUGCGAUGGCUGCACACUUGUAAAGGUGGACAGCGCUAAUAGGCAUGGGAUACUGCUGGAGAUGGUGCAAGUUCUCACUGACCUUGAUCUCGUCAUCUCGAAAUCAUACAUCUCGUCUGAUGGCGGCUGCUAAUGAUGUGUUUCAUGUGACGGAUCAGCUGGGUAACAAACUAACGGACUCCGCCCUCAUUCAGUACAUCCAGCAAUCUCUGGUUCCGGAGAGGGAGUCAGGAUCGUCAUCUGGUCGAAGAGCAACCGAGGUGAUGACGUGUCUCGGCAAGAUGGUGGGCCCCGGCACCUGGCUUCGGAGUACACCUUGCCUCGAGGCCACUGCCACCGACCAGCGGGGCUCUCUCCGAGAUAUCAGCCGUGAUCGCAGAGCUUGACUGCUAUGUUGUGUCCUGCCAGGCCUGGACCCACAACCGGCGUGCCGCCGUCAUGAUCUACCUUGUAGACGAGGGCACUGGGGAGCCGAUAUGCGGACUCUGACAGACUGGCCCACAUUGAGAGGCAGGUAGGGAGCGUUGUCGGUGCCCACCUUGGAGUGGCA